GUUCUCCAAGCGUGGUGCUCCCUCAUGGCCAGCAGCAUCAGCAUCCUUCCAGAGCUUGUUAGAAAUGCAAAUUCUUGGAGCCCCUCGGUGGCUCAGUCCGUGCGACUCUUGAUUUCGGCUUGGCUGACCAUCUCACGGCUGAUAUUCAGGAAGAAACCAAAGGUGAUCUAUUGGCCACGGGACAGGAGAUUGGAUUUAACCCAUCAACUCUGACCCUCCGGGAGAAGCAAAGCAUUUCCAUUGGGGAGCUGUCUGACCAAUCCAGUUCUCCGCGUCUGCGAGGGAGUUAACCGAGAAUAUCAAAGGCAUUCUUGAAUCGGUCAUCUAUCACGAAACAUUCUCCUCCUCCCGUCCCCCACCCUGCUCCCAUCAUCCCCCUCCUCCCGAGCAGCAGCGGCCACAGGGGAGA